rnacentral:rRNA from 1 species
AACAAACGCUGGCGGCGUGCCUAAUACAUGCAAGUCGAACGGGGAAAGCUUUCGGGUGAGUACUAGUGGCGCACGGGUGAGUAACGCGUGGAUAAUCUGCCUUAGAGUGGGGGAUAACUAGUCGAAAGAUUAGCUAAUACCGCAUAAGACCACAAGAACUGCGGUUCAAGGGGUCAAAGGUUUUUCGCUCUAAGAUGAGUCCGCGUAAGAUUAGCUAGUUGGUAGGGUAACGGCCUACCAAGGCGACGAUCUUUAACUGGUCUGAGAGGAUGAUCAGUCACACUGGAACUGAGACACGGUCCAGACUCCUACGGGAGGCAGCAGUAGGGAGUAUUGCACAGUGGAGGAAACUCUGAUGCAGCGACGCCGCGUGAGUGAUGAAGGCCUUCGGGUCGUAAAGCUCUGUCGCAGGGGAAUAACACAAUGAAGGUACCCUGUAAGAAAGGAUCGGCUAACUUCGUGCCAGCAGCCGCUGUAACAC